CUGUUCCUUUUUCCUAUGCAUAUACCUUUUUCAGAUGUAACUUUAAAGAGGCAUAGGGCAUGGGAAAAUGGGGCUG
rfam:Tetraodon nigroviridis, WGS project CAAE01000000 data, contig: CNS0BZ3O, chromosome: undetermined